ensembl:misc_RNA Metazoa_SRP Metazoan signal recognition particle RNA
GCCGGGUGCGGUGGCUCGCGCCUGUAAUCCAAGCGUCUGGGAGGCUGAGGCUGGUGGAUCGUUUGAGCUCAGGGGUUCUGGGCUGCAGCGGACUAUGCCGAUCGGGUGUCCGCACUAAGUUCGGUAUCGAUAUGGUGCUCCUGGGGGAGCCCAGGACCACCAGGUCGUCUAAGGAGGGGUGCACCGGCCCAGGCCGGAAACGGAGCAGGUCAAAGCCCCCGUGCCGAUCAGUAGUGGGAUAACGCCUGUGAAUAGACGUUGCAGUGCAGCCUGGGCGAUACAGCGGGACACAGCCUUUU